GACGAACCGUGCGAACGUUGUUCGGAAUCACUGGGCUUAAAGGGCGCGUAGGCGGUUUGCCAAGUCAGGGGUGAAAUCCUGCAGCUCAACUGUAGAAGUGCCUUUGAUACUGGCGAACUCGAGGGAGGUAGGGGUGGGUGGAACUUCUGGUGGAGCGGUGAAAUGCGUUGAUAUCAGAAGGAAGACCAGUGGCGAAGGCGGGUCUCUGGACAGUUCCUGACGCUGAGGCACGAAGGUCAGGGGAGCAAACGGGG
rnacentral:rRNA from 1 species